UGUUUUGAGAUAAACAUCAUAUUUCCUUAUAAAAAGAUAAAAAAAAUAUGUUAUUUUUCUAAUGUGAGUUGUAAUUAACGAAGAACGUAUAUGAUGAUCUUCUAUGUACUUUUGUUUUAACGCUAGUAGGGUAGGGGUAUGCGGAAUUUCUGAUAGAGCGGUGACAUUUGUAGAGAUCAAAAACAACACCAACGUCGAAAGCACUUUGUUGGGCCGACACUAACACUAAGAGACAACAGCUAGGGUAAUGAAUGGGAUUAGAUACCCCAAUAGUCCUAGCCGUAAACAAUGGAUACUAGGCAUUGUGCGUAUCGACCGUGCAAUGUUGUAGCGAAUGCGUUAAUUAUUGAAACUCAAAGGUAUUGACAUGGAGUACGUUUUCAAGAAUGAAACUCAAAGGUAUUAACGGGGGCUCGCACAAGCGGUGGAGAAGGUGGUUAAAUUUGAUGGAAAGUAAAGAAUAUUACCAGGGCUUGACAUGCUACGAAUCUUCUUGAAAGAGAGGGUUGCCAUUGGGAACACGGACACAUGUGGUGCAUGACUAUCGUCAGCUCAUGAGAUAAGGUGUUGGGUUAUCUCCCACAACAAGUGCAACCCUCGUGUUUCGUUGCCAACAUUCAGUUUGGAACCUUGAGUAGAAUGCUGGUGGUAAGCCGGAGGAAGGUGAGGAUGACGUCAAGUCAUCAUGUCCUAUAUGCCCUAGGCGACACACAUGCUAUAAUGGUCGGGACAAAGGAUUGUGAUCCCACGAGGGUGAGCUAAAUCCAAAAACCCGUCCACAGUUCGGAUUAUAGGUUGCGACUAGCCUGCAUGAAGGCAAAAUCGCUAGUAAUCAUCGGUGAGCCAUACGACAAUGAAUUCGUUCUUGGGCCUUGUAGUCACUGCCCAUCACACUAUGGGAGCUGGUCAUUCCGGAAGUUGUUACCUUAAUCGCAAGGAGGGGGAUGUCGAAGGUAGGGAUCGUGACUAGAGUGAAGUCGUAACAAGGUAGCCAUACUGGAAGGUGCGGCUAGAUCACCUCCUUU
rfam:Lupinus angustifolius cultivar Tanjil chromosome LG09, whole genome shotgun sequence.